rnacentral:rRNA from 1 species
UUGGAGGGCAAGUCUGGUGCCAGCAGCCGCGGUAAUUCCAGCUCCAAUAGCGUAUAUUAAAGUUGUUGCAGUUAAAAAGCUCGUAGUUGAAUUUCGGGAUCAAGGGAUCGGUCAUGCCUUGGUAUGUACUGGUCUUAUUGGUUCUCACCUUCUAAAGAACCAUGAUGUCAUUCAUUUGAUGUUAUGGGGAAUUAGGACUGUUACCUUGAAAAAAUUAGAGUGUUUAAAGCAAGCUUACGCUUGAAUACAUUAGCAUGGAAUAAUGAAAUAGGACGGACUGAUUCUAUUUCGUUGGUUUCUAGGGUCACCGUAAUGAUUAAUAGGGAUAGUUGGGGGCAUUAGUAUUCAAUUGUCAGAGGUGAAAUUCUUGGAUUUAUUGAAGACUAACUACUGCGAAAGCAUUUGCCAAGGAUGUUUUCAUUAAUCAAGAACGAAAGUUAGGGGAUCGAAGACGAUCAGAUACCGUCGUAGUCUUAACCAUAAACUAUGCCGACUAGGGAUCGGACGAAGUUAAUUUUAUAAUGACGCGUUCGGCACCUUACGGGAAACCAAAGUGUUUGGGUUC